AGCAGUUUCAAGUUCACACUGCUCCUGGUUUCACCAUCAUUGCUGGUCAGAGGUUGAGUUGGUGACUCUUUAAAGAGGGAUGCAAGCUGGGUCUCACUUGCAGUCUCCCUAAGUGCUCCAGAAGAUAGCAGGAUAACUGAUCACAGAAAACUGGUGCCUACUGAAGAGCAUUAAAAGCUUGUUUUUGAUCCAGGAGUUGGAAAAAAAUGCCCAGAAAAUGCUUAGCUUCAUCCAUAUUACAACUUCGCCAUUCUCUACAUCAUUUUCUGAGAGAUAGUUAUAACGGUAACGAACUCCAGUGGGUCAUCCAGCUGGGGAUCCAGACUUCUACAUUUCCAGAGUAUGUUGGGUUUUGAGAUUUCAAAUGUUUCCAUAAGAGUACAGGCUAACAUUUUUAGAUAUGUUUUGUUGGACAUGCCAGUAUCAGCAGAUUGCAUUUGUGCUAUAAGCAGCUGUAAUUCUUAUCCCACUUACUUUCUGAAAGAAAAAGUGCUGGAAAUGCUCAGGGACUUACCUUAUGGGUAGGUUUAUGCCUGUGUAUGAUGCUGCUCAGUUGACCAGGCACAAGGUUGGUGACAUCUCUGCAGAACUGGGCAGUGUUUCUGGAGUUUAUGCCAGCUGUGGCAGGUUUAGUGAUAACUAAAUAUUAGUAGAUUCCAUACCAGGACAGGUAUUGGCAGGAGCCAGUAUUUUAAAUAUGCACAGAUGAAUGGAUAAAUAGAUAGAUAGACCUGUCUGGUUGUCUAUAUUUAUCUAUCUGUGUAGAUCUUAGUAGGAGGGUUUAUACUGGGUUGUUUCUCAGGAUCACACUUGUCCAGCUGGAGAAGCUGUGAAAUGUGCUAUGCAUAAAUUGUGCCUCUGAACCAUGGUUUCAAGGACACUAACUUGCUGAAGGUCAGAGAGCAGAGCUGGAAAUGGUAUACAGACUUUAUUUUGUAUUUAUUUUUUGCUGUUUGGGAAAGAGAGCUUAAAAGCAAACAAAUGCAAGCAGCAGACAAAGGAAGCCUUGCUUUGCCAAAUAUCUUGCUUAUAAGAACAUCAUCAAUGAGAUUCUCUUGAACUGGCAUCAGUCUCCUGCUUUAGGGGGAAAAGAAGAGCCUUUGUUGUUCUUUAAUGGUGUCUCUUAUUCAAACCCUUUGUGUUUUUGGUUUUUUGUGUUUUUUGUUUUUUUUUUUUUACAACCCUCAGCUUGGACUGAUUGUUCUGUAUUUGUGAAGGUGCCUUUGAGCACUCUGAGCAUAUAUUAACGUUGGCCUGAUUAUAAAGCAUCCUUAAGUAGAGGAUGUUUCUCUGAAUCAAGAAGUACAGCAUGUUCCCAUGGCCGUCCGUUUGUAGGGUGAAGGCAGUCUCAUGCAAUCCAGG
ensembl:lncRNA